ACAAUCAGGCUCCAUUUGUGUGUGUGUGUGGUUUUUUUGUUUUUUUUUGAGGGGGGGAGGGAAGAGAAACGUUAUGUACACUAGCUUGCCAGUUAUGCAGCUUUGGCUCAAAAAGGAUCCAUCAGAAAAAAUUGAAUAGUAAAUCGUCUGCCUUAUUCAUCACUGUUGGCACUACUGUCAAGGCUGAUAGGCACUGGCUUCAAAUCCAAUCAUUUGCACUGCAGCUGUAACAAACUUGCCACGCAUCCCGCCCUCGCUCGGUAAACUUUUCCAUAGUGAGCACCAUGAGGGCAGAUGACCAUGUGGUGGAUUAAACAAGUUUCCUGCAAUGAUUGAUGCUGUCUGAUAUAUAAAAUGUUCAGUAAUGAACGAGGCAGAAUUUCAUCUGGGAUCUAAAAUGAGCAGCUGCAAUGGAAGUGCUUUCUUUCCUUUGUUGAUACCAGAAUAGGAAACUGCAGCGCAAUUGUCUUGUGAAGCUGAGGUCUUAAAGCAAGCAGCUGAGAAAGAAGAGCACAUACAGAGUACUUGACAAAGCAAUUUAAGAAAACAACUAUUUCAGCAAAAUGGUAGAAGAAAAGCUGACUGCAUAAAUUGAGGCUAAUGAAGAGAAGUGGAAAGCACAGACUGCUGCUAAACUUGAGUGCUAAAGAGACACUAGCUAGCUGAAGUCUGAAAGAACAAAGAUUUCAAAGACACUACUGAAAACCGAAAGAAAUCCAAAAACUUUAUUUUC